UUAAGCGACUAAGCGUACACGGUGGAUGCCCUGGCAGUCAGAGGCGAUGAAGGACGUGCUAAUCUGCGAUAAGCGUCGGUAAGGUGAUAUGAACCGUUAUAACCGGCGAUUUCCGAAUGGGGAAACCCAGUGUGAUUCGUCACACUAUCAUUAACUGAAUCCAUAGGUUAAUGAGGCGAACCGGGGGAACUGAAACAUCUAAGUACCCCGAGGAAAAGAAAUCAACCGAGAUUCCCCCAGUAGCGGCGAGCGAACGGGGAGCAGCCCAGAGCCUGAAUCAGUAUGUGUGUUAGUGGAAGCGUCUGGAAAGGCGCGCGAUACAGGGUGACAGCCCCGUACACAAAAAUGCACAUGCUGUGAGCUCGAUGAGUAGGGCGGGACACGUGGUAUCCUGUCUGAAUAUGGGGGGACCAUCCUCCAAGGCUAAAUACUCCUGACUGACCGAUAGUGAACCAGUACCGUGAGGGAAAGGCGAAAAGAACCCCGGCGAGGGGAGUGAAAAAGAACCUGAAACCGUGUACGUACAAGCAGUGGGAGCACGCUUAGGCGUGUGACUGCGUACCUUUUGUAUAAUGGGUCAGCGACUUAUAUUCUGUAGCAAGGUUAACCGAAUAGGGGAGCCGAAGGGAAACCGAGUCUUAACUGGGCGUUAAGUUGCAGGGUAUAGACCCGAAACCCGGUGAUCUAGCCAUGGGCAGGUUGAAGGUUGGGUAACACUAACUGGAGGACCGAACCGACUAAUGUUGAAAAAUUAGCGGAUGACUUGUGGCUGGGGGUGAAAGGCCAAUCAAACCGGGAGAUAGCUGGUUCUCCCCGAAAGCUACUUAGGUAGCGCCUCGUGAAUUCAUCUCCGGGGGUAGAGCACUGUUUCGGCAAGGGGGUCAUCCCGACUUACCAACCCGAUGCAAACUGCGAAUACCGGAGAAUGUUAUCACGGGAGACACACGGCGGGUGCUAACGUCCGUCGUGAAGAGGGAAACAACCCAGACCGCCAGCUAAGGUCCCAAAGUCAUGGUUAAGUGGGAAACGAUGUGGGAAGGCCCAGACAGCCAGGAUGUUGGCUUAGAAGCAGCCAUCAUUUAAAGAAAGCGUAAUAGCUCACUGGUCGAGUCGGCCUGCGCGGAAGAUGUAACGGGGCUAAACCAUGCACCGAAGCUGCGGCAGCGACGCUGAUGCGUUGUUGGGUAGGGGAGCGUUCUGUAAGCCUGUGAAGGUGUGCUGUGAGGCAUGCUGGAGGUAUCAGAAGUGCGAAUGCUGACAUAAGUAACGAUAAAGCGGGUGAAAAGCCCGCUCGCCGGAAGACCAAGGGUUCCUGUCCAACGUUAAUCGGGGCAGGGUGAGUCGACCCCUAAGGCGAGGCCGAAAGGCGUAGUCGAUGGGAAACAGGUUAAUAUUCCUGUACUUGGUGUUACUGCGAAGGGGGGACGGAGAAGGCUAUGUUGGCCGGGCGACGGUUGUCCCGGUUUAAGCGUGUAGGCUGGUUUUCCAGGCAAAUCCGGAAAAUCAAGGCUGAGGCGUGAUGACGAGGCACUACGGUGCUGAAGCAACAAAUGCCCUGCUUCCAGGAAAAGCCUCUAAGCAUCAGGUAACAUCAAAUCGUACCCCAAACCGACACAGGUGGUCAGGUAGAGAAUACCAAGGCGCUUGAGAGAACUCGGGUGAAGGAACUAGGCAAAAUGGUGCCGUAACUUCGGGAGAAGGCACGCUGAUAUGUAGGUGAAGUCCCUCGCGGAUGGAGCUGAAAUCAGUCGAAGAUACCAGCUGGCUGCAACUGUUUAUUAAAAACACAGCACUGUGCAAACACGAAAGUGGACGUAUACGGUGUGACGCCUGCCCGGUGCCGGAAGGUUAAUUGAUGGGGUCAGCGCAAGCGAAGCUCUUGAUCGAAGCCCCGGUAAACGGCGGCCGUAACUAUAACGGUCCUAAGGUAGCGAAAUUCCUUGUCGGGUAAGUUCCGACCUGCACGAAUGGCGUAAUGAUGGCCAGGCUGUCUCCACCCGAGACUCAGUGAAAUUGAACUCGCUGUGAAGAUGCAGUGUACCCGCGGCAAGACGGAAAGACCCCGUGAACCUUUACUAUAGCUUGACACUGAACAUUGAGCCUUGAUGUGUAGGAUAGGUGGGAGGCUUUGAAGUGUGGACGCCAGUCUGCAUGGAGCCGACCUUGAAAUACCACCCUUUAAUGUUUGACGUUCUAACGUUGACCCGUAAUCCGGGUUGCGGACAGUGUCUGGUGGGUAGUUUGACUGGGGCGGUCUCCUCCUAAAGAGUAACGGAGGAGCACGAAGGUUGGCUAAUCCUGGUCGGACAUCAGGAGGUUAGUGCAAUGGCAUAAGCCAGCUUGACUGCGAGCGUGACGGCGCGAGCAGGUGCGAAAGCAGGUCAUAGUGAUCCGGUGGUUCUGAAUGGAAGGGCCAUCGCUCAACGGAUAAAAGGUACUCCGGGGAUAACAGGCUGAUACCGCCCAAGAGUUCAUAUCGACGGCGGUGUUUGGCACCUCGAUGUCGGCUCAUCACAUCCUGGGGCUGAAGUAGGUCCCAAGGGUAUGGCUGUUCGCCAUUUAAAGUGGUACGCGAGCUGGGUUUAGAACGUCGUGAGACAGUUCGGUCCCUAUCUGCCGUGGGCGCUGGAGAACUGAGGGGGGCUGCUCCUAGUACGAGAGGACCGGAGUGGACGCAUCACUGGUGUUCGGGUUGUCAUGCCAAUGGCACUGCCCGGUAGCUAAAUGCGGAAGAGAUAAGUGCUGAAAGCAUCUAAGCACGAAACUUGCCCCGAGAUGAGUUCUCCCUGACUCCUUGAGAGUCCUGAAGGAACGUUGAAGACGACGACGUUGAUAGGCCGGGUGUGUAAGCGCAGCGAUGCGUUGAGCUAACCGGUACUAAUGAACCGUGAGGCUUAACCUU
rnacentral:rRNA from 1 species